rnacentral:rRNA from 1 species
CGGGAGCUUGUACAGGUGCUGCAUGGCUGUCGUCAGCUCGUGUCGUGAGAUGUCGGUUAAGUCCGCUAACGAGCCGCAACCCUCGCUGUGUGUUACAAGUGUCACACGGAACUGCCGGUCAUAACCGGAGGAAGUGGGAUGACGUCAAGUCAGCAUGGCCUUUAUAUCCUGGGCUACACACACGCUACAAUGGGAAGGGACAAUAGGUUGCGAAGCCGCGAGGCGGAGCCAAUCCAGCAAACUUCCCUCAGUUCAGAUUGCAGGCUGCAACUCGCCUGCAUGAAGUUGGAGUUGCUAGUAAACGCAGGUCAGCCAUACUGCGUUGAAUACGUUCCCGGGGCUU